rnacentral:rRNA from 1 species
AUGACAGCAUUAGAAAAAUCAGUCAGGUUGUUUGCGGAAUCCCCAGGGGAUAAUGUCAUUGUACCAAAAGUGGGCCUCAAUUUUGAUACAUUAGGCGAGGCGUACGAUUUCUACAAUCUGUACUCCUGGGAGAAGGGAUUCGGGAUUCGUUAUGGAAAGUGCAGGCUAAAUGUAAACUGGACGAAAUGUAUGCAAGAGAUAGUCUGCGGUUGCGCGGGAAAACCAAUAGUGGAGAAUACUCGAUCCUGCCGGUAUGAAUGCCCUGCCCUAAUCCGAUUGCUGCGAUGGAAGGACAAUGGGUGGUACAUAGCAGAGCACAGGGAGCAGCACAAAAUCAUGCCUUGUCCAGCACAUACGGUCAGACUUUGCACUGGCCGUCACAUAAACAUAUCAACGUCUACAGCAGGGAUCUAG